CUUGGAUAAUCAGGCUUCAUUUGGCCACACGCGGUCACAUAUCAUAUUUUAUACGCCACGAAUAGACUGAAUAGCAAUUAUCCACAGUUGAGCACCUAAAUCACCUGGGAUCUCAGUUUACAAGAUGCGAUGACAUGAUGUCGACCAUACCCGCUGCAUCUGAGCUCUCAGCUACCACUUCUGAUUGAAUGAAUGAGCGAGGGAGAUUGUAGGAUACUAUAUUAAGGCACGCACAGCCACUAAUGUAGACGUACAAUCAAUUCACCUCUUAACAAGGUAUUAACUGCAACAUUUUGUGGGUUCAUUUGGCAGCAUCUCAGCGUCUGUAUUUAGGGCUACAGUGGAAUUUCAGCCACAGUCUGUUCUGCAGCCAAAUCCUCGGUGAAUAGGAGGAGAGGCGGCGUGGCGGAGAUAUCUCCCAUUCCUCCCCUCGAGGUCUCAGAAUAGAGCAGAGCAGCCAGCAUUGCUCAACCCGGUGAGGAAAUACAGUAAUCUCAGUUGCGUGUGUCCAAAGUCAACGGUAAGGGAAAUACCAUCUCCUGUUGUUCUGCAGUAGUCGUCGGAGCAGUUUCGGGCCUCUGCAAAACUUUCACACACCUGCUGAUGAGCCUCUGGAGUUGUUUCUAUGUGAGAAUUUUGCUUCCGCAUCUGAAAAGGAUAAAACCCAGACGUGACGUUCCUUAACGCAUGGGCGUGGCAGCUUCGUCGCUGAACUGUUGUGCAUCAUGGGCAUCUUUUUUUUCACACAGGGAGCGUGUCUGCUACGGAGCUUUUAUGUGGGGUUUUGGUAUGAUCACUGUAUUUCCUUGAAUAAAAAGUAGCCUUUGUAUUCAACUAAAUGCCAGGACUCUACGGCAUGAAGCCUUGCAUCUUCAGGUCCUGCAAUGAUAACAAAAUAAAACUUGUUUAA